GCUUUUUAUGUCCCCCACUAUAGUAGUGGGGGACAUAUUGUUUUUGCCCUGUCUGUUGGUCUGUUGGUCUGUCUGUUGGUCUGUUUGGGCCAACUUUAACAUUUUGCAAUAACUUUUGCUAUAUUGAAGAUAGCAACUUAAUAUUUGGCAUGCAUGUGUAUCUCAUGAAGCUGCACAUUUUGAGUGGUGAAAGUUCAAGGUCAAGGUAAUCCUUCAGGGUCAGAGGUCAAAUAUAUGUGGCCAAAAUCGCUCAUUUUAUGAAUACUUUUGCAAUAUUGAAGAUAGCAACUUGAUAUUUGGCAUGCAUGUGUAUCUCAUGGAGCUGCACAUUUUGAGUGGUGAAAGGUCAAGGUCAAGGUCAUCCUUCAAGGUCAGAGGUCAAAUAUAUGUGGCCCAAAUCACUUAUUUUAUGAAUACUUUUGCAAUAUUGAAGAUAGCAACUUGAUAUUUGGCAUGCAUGUGUAUCUCAUGGAGCUGCACAUUUUCAGUGGUGAAAGGUCAAGGUCAUCCUUCACAAGGUCAAGGUCAUCCUUCAAGGUCAAACGUCAUAUAGGGGGACAUUGUGUUUCACAAACACAUCUUGUUGGUUUUUCAAAUAGUUUAAUACAUCAUUACGUUUUUUAUAGUCAUUAAGGCCACGGCAGUUGUAAGAUAAAAUCUUAAAGUCAACCAAUUGUAUAGAUUUUGAAGUUUAAAUUAUAAGUUUGGUUCAACAUACGAAAGAACCCAAUUGCCAAUAAAAUGAAAAGAU